UCCUUAACAAUAGGGAUAACUAAGCUUGAAAGGGUUUUACUCUGAAAUGUCAAUGUUGUUUACUUCCUCUGCUCUUCAUUUCAGCAUUUUGGCCUGAGUUUUCAGAUCUUGGUCUGUGGGAAUCAUAAAUCAUGGGGAAUAGAUACAUAGAAAAUGAAAUAGUAUGGACCAUCUACUUAGUUUUCAAGGAACUUUGAGUCUAUAGCUCCCCAGUUGUCAGCACCAAGUUUUUCUGCAAUCAAUUCUUUUAUUUUUAAAGGAAGCUAGAUAAAAAGGGAAAAGAAAAAAAAAAAAAAAAGAGAGAAAGAAAAAGAAAAAAGUACUACUCCAUCACCAGUUUUCCCCAAAGUUUGAUGAGUAUGUUUUGAUUGGGAGUUCUGCUUAAGACCAUGUCUAAUUUUAAUUAAAGCAAACUGCUACAGAAUGUACAGACUGCAAGUUUUAGUUUGAUUCUCCCUUGGUACAGACUAUCUUAGAAAUACAGUGGCAUUUUUCUUAAAGUGAAACAGACUCUCUAACCUCUUGCAGAAUGCAUAAAAUCCUGCACAUAUGUCAUGUGGCUGCCACCUUACCUUCUCGUGAGACAGAAAUUCCUGGCAACCAUUUCAGAACUGCAAAGAAUGUGGAGGUUUCAUGAAGGUUUAUCAAAUAAAAACAAAGUUUUGCAUUGUUAAAAGCAUCAUCCAAGAGUCUUCUUAAAGGAUAAGUCCUUUCCUUAGAACUUAGCUUAUGUUUCUCAGCUGGAUACAGGGAAACUAAAUGGAAGAAAAGGAAGUGUUUUCCCUAUAGAUUGCAAGAAAGACAGUGCUUCUGCUUAAAAAAAUGACAUUGCUUUAGUAGUUUCCACUUACUGCACAUGAAAAAGAUCAGGGAAGAGUUUGUUACUGGGGCAGUUGCAAAAUUUUCUGCAUCUGGAACUGGAAAAUAUCUUUGCAGAAGAUGGAGGUUGCUUUUGAAAGGCCAUUUUCAACAGGUGAUAGCUUAAGUAGCAGGAACUCUGCAUCCCCAGCAUGAUUCUGUAAGCAGGGGUGGCCCUUGAUGCUGCACAGUGUUGGCUCUGAAGCCAACAAAGCUGCACCUGAAGCCAGGAACUCCCACAGCUGUGAUUGCAGAACUGAUGUUACAGUUUGGCUGCUAUUUUUGCAAGGGGCUGACAUACUUGCCUGCGUGGGUUAUGGUCAUCUUUUACAUUUCUGCAUGUGCAAUCAACAAAAGGGGAGUGGAAGAAGAAAAUUUCACUCUCACAUGGAAACAGAGGCAAGCAUUGAAAACACAGUGCAUUUCAAUAAGCUGUAAUUACAAAUACAAAUUCAUCAACUGAAUUUGGGCAUGCAAUUAGUAGACUAAUUAUGCUGUAAUUGUAACUGAAUACCAAAACAGAUGACCAUGUGCCAGCCUCCAUCCCACCCAGUUGUCUUUGUGCCAUCGCUCCUACGCACAGUAGUGUCUAUGCUCUUGUGUAUCUCCUGCUGAAAAUAGGAAUCCAGCUGAUGGGUAAAUGCCAUCAGUUUCUCACUUAAGUCACCAAUUCUUCCAAUUCUAUAUUUACCAUCAAUAACUGUUUCUGAGACCCUGUUGGAUGCGUUGUCUCAGCAGAAAGUCAGAGAUGGGCCCCAGCCCAAAGCUUAGAGCCAAAGAAGACCCACUUUGGAGAAGUGCUGCUGUCCUUGUUCCAUAUAUCUAUGGAGAGAUAAGAGGUGUGCUGAUCUCCAUGGCUAUCGAGGUGCCUAAUUCUCUCUUGUGCUGACAAAUUUUUCACUAUCAGCCACUAAUGACAGAUUUCACCAAACUUGAGCUACUUGGUUGAAAGGGCCGUGUUGGUUGCACACUCCCAGAAUAAUCAAUGUACGGAGUCACCUCCACCAGGUGAUUGCACAUGGAGCAUGGCUGAGCAGAGAGCAGCCUGCCUUACUGUGCUGGUGUUAGCUGGGGAAGUCCAGGCCUAAAUUAGUCCUCUAAGGACUUUACCCAAGAUCAGACAAAGAGUGUGUAGCAAAGAGAAGGAAUCAACCCUGAGCCUUUUUUUUUCUUCACUUACAGCAAAUUAACUCCUUGUUUUAUAUGGCUUUUUGUAAGUUUCUCUGAAGUUUUCUGAUUGUACUGAUGAGCAAUGUCUGAAUGUCAGUAUUUUGAUUACUGUUAAUAUGCAUAAUUUUCAAUGAAAUUAAUUUAGCUAAGAAUAAAAAUACCUUUUAUACAAUAUCUCAAAUGUUUUGGUAAUGUAUUGAUUUAAUGUACUUAGUUCAGUGAAAAAUCUGUUGGUUUAAGCUAUCUGCCAUUAGUUUCAAUUAAAAUAUAUUGAUCUGAGUAAAUGUUGGUUAGUAAGUUUUGCCUGACUGUGAAAAAAUAUUUGCUUAAGCAAAAAGUGUAUGAGUAUUUAGACAUGUAUUUUAGGUUGGGGACUCUCCUAGCACCAGUAGAACUGUUCAAGCAUCAAUAAAUUUCUCUAAAUAAAGAUGAAAAUAUUUUUUCUGAAAUUAAAAAAGUUGAUUACAGUAAUAUUGGGACUGGUAUGCAUAUUAAUUCAAGUAGACUUGGUUUUGAAAGAGUAAGCAUUCAGUCAAGAAUACUGUAACAUGAAAACAUUGAAAACUCAAACUCUCUGUGAGGAAAUCUGGUUUUCACAUGGAAAGCCAGGCUUUCUUCUUAAACCACAAAGCCAAAUAACUGCAAAACAAUAAUAAAAUCAUUUCAGUAGCCAUGGGUAGUAGGAAAACAGGCUAGAAAAUGCAGUUGUUUAAAGUACUGUAAGCACAUAAUUUGUGGGAUUAAUUUUAAUCCAAAACAUCCAAAAAUAUACAUAGAAAUAAAAAAGCAUGCAAGCAAUAAGGCUGAUACACCAGUCCUUUAUUAGUUCUAUAAAGACUGGAAACCUUUGGGACUCUGAUCUGCAAGCAGAAGAGUACCCUCACCUUGGGAUAAAAGAUGGACAUGCCUGCCUGACUCUGUCCUCAGCUACCUGCACUCACACCAAGAUGAGAACUACCCAGCACUGCCAGCCAGAGAGCAGGUUAAAUCUAUCCCACAGUGGUCUGCUCAGAGCCUUGCAGCAAUUCAGCUCUAGGGUUAAGAGAUUAAAAACUCAGGAGACAUGGAAUGAUAGUUGUACUUAUUCUUCAGAGAAUACAUAUCUAUUUGUUAGCUGCCUACACAAGAGUUGUUUAUUUUAGAGAUGUUCCUCAUUUUAAUCUCAUCUAUUCAAGUUAAAAAAAAAAAUCCUGCAUAGAAAGUAGCAGUUUUUUAUCUUUGUGGGUUUGUUUGGGGGAACAGUACUUCCAAGUUUCCCUCUCUUUUCCAUGUGUGGGUGUGUGCAGAGAAGAAAUAAUGCAUUCAUAGGUUUUGUACCUGCCACCCAUCCUGUAUUUCAAUGGCACCUUUUAUCUGGUAGAACUGCCUUACCUGGGACAGUGCAUCUGUGUAUACACUCCUUUCACAAGCAGGAGGCUGACAAAAGCACCAGCACCACUGUGAGGCACUCUCUGGAUGGCAAGGGCAGUUGCCACUGCCACAACAGCACAAAGGCAAGGUGCAGUGUUCAGGGGUAUCUUUUUGUAUCUUUUUUUUUUUUUUUUUUGAUUGUUAAUUGAAGGCUUGAAAAUAAAAAUCUCUUUAGCUGUGUGGUCACAGUUUCUGGCCAGAGGUUCCUGCAGUUUCAGCUAGCAGUUUCCAUAAAGUUGUGGUUUUGCAUGAACAACCCCAACUCAUUGCCUUCUACAAGUCGUUCUCUUUUUUAAAAUCCUGUAGUAACAAUAGUUAAACCCCACUACUAUAUGCUUACAAAAUAUAAAUAGAAAUUCAUACCUGAAAAUCUGAUGUAUAUAACUUUCACGUUGGGAUAGGCCUCUCAGACUGUACAUCACAUAGCAAUUACAACAGCCCUUACCCUGCAAAAGAAAAAAAAAAACAAAAAA
rnacentral:lncRNA from 1 species